rnacentral:rRNA from 1 species
CAUGCAAGUCGAGCGAUCUCUUCGGAGAGAGCGGCGGACGGGUGAGUAACGCGUGGGUAACCUGCCCUGUACACACGGAUAACAUACCGAAAGGUAUACUAAUACGGGAUAACAUACGAAAGUCGCAUGGCUUUUGUAUCAAAGCUCCGGCGGUACAGGAUGGACCCGCGUCUGAUUAGCUAGUUGGUAAGGUAAUGGCUUACCAAGGCAACGAUCAGUAGCCGACCUGAGAGGGUGAUCGGCCACACUGGAACUGAGACACGGUCCAGACUCCUACGGGAGGCAGCAGUGGGGAAUAUUGCACAAUGGGCGAAAGCCUGAUGCAGCAACGCCGCGUGAGCGAUGAAGGCCUUCGGGUCGUAAAGCUCUGUCCUCAAGGAAGAUAAUGACGGUACUUGAGGAGGAAGCCCCGGCUAACUACGUGCCAGCAGCCGCGGUAAUACGUAGGGGGCUAGCGUUAUCCGGAAUUACUGGGCGUAAAAGGUGCGUAGGUGGUUUUUUAAGUCAGAAGUGAAAGGCUACGGCUCAACCGUAGUAAAGCUUUUGAAACUAGAGAACUUGAGUGCAGGAGAGGAGAGUAGAAUUCCUAGUGUAGCGGUGAAAUGCGUAGAUAUUAGGAGGAAUACCAGUAGCGAAGGCGGCUCUCUGGACUGUAACUGACACUGAGGCACGAAAGCGUGGGGAGCAAACAGGAUUAGAUACCCUGGUAGUCCACGCCGUAAACGAUGAGUACUAGGUGUCGGGGGUUACCCCCCUCGGUGCCGCAGCUAACGCAUUAAGUACUCCGCCUGGGAAGUACGCUCGCAAGAGUGAAACUCAAAAGGAAUUUGACGGGGACCCGCACAAGUAGCGGAGCAUGUGGUUUUAAUUCGAAGCAACGCGAAGAACCUUACCUAAGCUUUGACAUCCCACUGACCUCUCCCUAAUCGGAGAUUUCCCUUCGGGGACAGUGGUGACAGGUGGGGCAUGGUUGUCGUCAGCUCGUGUCGUGAGAUGUUGGGUUAAGUCCCGCAACGAGCGCAACCCUUGCCUUUAGUUGCCAGCAUUAAGUUGGGCACUCUAGAGGGACUGCCGAGGAUAACUCGGAGGAAGGUGGGGAUGACGUCAAAUCAUCAUGCCCCUUAUGCUUAGGGCUACACACGUGCUACAAUGGGUGGUACAGAGGGUUGCCAAGCCGCGAGGUGGAGCUAAUCCCUUAAAGCCAUUCUCAGUUCGGAUUGUAGGCUGAAACUCGCCUACAUGAAGCUGGAGUUACUAGUAAUCGCAGAUCAGAAUGCUGCGGUGAAUGCGUUCCCGGGUCUUGUACACACCGCCCGUCACACCAUGGAAGUUGGGGGCGCCCGAAGCCGGUUAGCUAACCUUUUAGGAAGCGGCCUC